AUCGGCAGCUAGCUCUCUGCAACUCUCACAUGGUCGCCCACUGAAGCUAAGCAGGGCUGCGCCCGGUCAGUACCUGGAUGGGAGACCACUUGGGAAAGCUAGGUUGCUGCCGGAA
rnacentral:rRNA from 1 species